AUUGAAUGCUGGCGGCAGGCCUAACACAUGCAAGUCGAGCGGAUGAAGGGAGCUUGCUCCUGGAUUCAGCGGCGGACGGGUGAGUAAUGCCUAGGAAUCUGCCUGGUAGUGGGGGAUAACGUCCGGAAACGGGCGCUAAUACCGCAUACGUCCUGAGGGAGAAAGUGGGGGAUCUUCGGACCUCACGCUAUCAGAUGAGCCUAGGUCGGAUUAGCUAGUUGGUGGGGUAAAGGCCUACCAAGGCGACGAUCCGUAACUGGUCUGAGAGGAUGAUCAGUCACACUGGAACUGAGACACGGUCCAGACUCCUACGGGAGGCAGCAGUGGGGAAUAUUGGACAAUGGGCGAAAGCCUGAUCCAGCCAUGCCGCGUGUGUGAAGAAGGUCUUCGGAUUGUAAAGCACUUUAAGUUGGGAGGAAGGGCAGUAGGUUAAUACCUUGCUGUUUUGACGUUACCAACAGAAUAAGCACCGGCUAACUUCGUG
rnacentral:rRNA from 1 species